rnacentral:lncRNA from 1 species
GAUAAAUUCUGAACAUUUCAUGUGUAUUUUGUUAUUUCAAGGUCACAACAGACUUUUAAAAAAAAACAGAGAGUAGACUGGGCAAGGUGCUUCACAGCUAUAAUCUAAGCACUUUGGGAGGCUGAGGUGGAGGGAUCUCUGGAGCUCACGAGUUUGAGACCAGCCUGGGCAACAUGGUGAAACCCCAUCUCUACAAAACGUACAAAAAAUUAGCCAGUUGUGAUGGCACAUACCUGGGAGGAACACCUGAGCUUGGCAAGGUCAAAGCUUCAGUGAGCCAUGAUUUCACCGCUGCACUCCAGCAUGGGCAGAGUGAGAACCUGUCUUAAAAUAAGAAAAAGAAAAAAUAGACAGUAAGUAGGUACUGUUAUUAUCUUCACCAGACAGAUGAGAGCUUUGAGCCACAAAGAAGCUGAGAGACUCACAUAAGUUAAUAAAUUGCCCGAGUGAAUGGACAACAGUAAACUAUGGAGACAAGGUCAUUGUGUGAAAUGAUGAAAUGCAUCUUCAUAAGAAAGCGCAAGAACUUGAAUUUGAGAAGAAAAAUAUAAAAGGAAAAAUAUUCUAGAAUCAGAUAUGAAAAUCACCGUGUCAGAUUAUGAAGCUGGAAUUUAUUCUUUGAAAAAUAGAAGAAAACAAGAUAAAACUAUGAAGAACGCAUUGCUGCUGCUUUAACAAUACUCAGAGAUGUUAUCACCAAAAGCCAUCAGUAACUGCCACAUGAGGCAGUCCCUACAAGGAGAGCAUUGCCUUCUGGUGUAUUGUGACAAGCUCAUCUGCAUGCAUGCACGAGUUCAUAUAGGACUGACAUUUUUGAAAGAACACCACAGCUUGAGAAAUAGAAAGAAGCUUUAGAUCAUCCAAUCCAGGUGAUUUUCACACAAAGUUUGACUGUAAAACUUUUUAGUGAAGAUGCUUUUCUACUCAGUAUACAUUUACUGAGCACAUACACAUAUGUAAAUACAGAUAUGAAUAAAAUACAGUGCUUAUCUUAGAAAUGAUUCUGUUUAAUAAAGGCAUCUUUCUCUCACUCUGUCAAACAGACAUGUAUGUGCACACACACACACAUGCAUGCACAUGCACCCCACAAUGCUCCUUGAAUUUAUAAAUAAAAGGGAGCUAUAGAAUGGGCAGAGGGGUGAGGGUUGGGGAGAUUGAGAAAAGCGUUGCAGGGGAACUGUGAGAAGGAAAGGUUUUCUAGUAACACAUAUUACUUGACCUGGUAUUGGAGGCAUGAAAAAAUAUUUCAAAGGCCGAAAUUUAAAAAGAAGUUAUUCCAGGCAUGAGAGUGGUAUGAACAAAGGCAGAAGCCUGAUAACAUAAAAAAUUAGAGAAAAUAAAUAUAGGCCACAAUUUACAGACUUAAAGGUCUACUUUAAGGACAGCGUGGGUCCAUUCUGACAGGAUAUUGAUAGUUAAAGAUGGGCUUUGGGGAGAUUGUUCUGGUAACAGGGCCCUUUGCUGGGUAAAGACAGAAUUAGAAGAGGAAAUGACAUUUGUAAUGGGAGCAUCACCCAAUUUUCUCUCUACACAACCCUGUAGUCACUCCUGGGGUGACUUUACAGAAACCAGAGGGUUCCACAGACAGGAUUUAAAAGUUCUUUUUCUUUUUUUUUGAGUCCAUCUCUCACAUUUCACAACUGAAGGAACCAUGGCUUGGAGUUCAUGAAUAACUUGAGCAAGAUCAUACAACAAUCUAUUCUUGAGAUUUUGCUUCAUAGCACUCAACUAUGGAUCGGUAGCUAUAAACUGCUUCAAGGCAUUUUCUCCUGAUUACUUCAUACCAUAGUGAUUUGCUUUUCCUGGAUAUAGUCUCAGUUUUUCUUGUAAUUACCAGUUCCUUAAGAAAAACAGAGUUCAUUAGAUUUCAUGGACAUUAGCAGACCAGCAGGUGUCUAUUACAAUGUCUAUGUAUUCUUGAUCACUAUUAUAAUUAUUGCCAUUGUUAUUAUCAUUUGAAGUGCCCAAAAUUGUGUGUUUUCAGAGUCAUGAAGUGUCUUGACAUUUAAUUUUUAAGAAUUUCAUUUAAGAGCCAAAAGUUGCAAUUGCAUAGUCUAGGAGACAUUUAGAUGUUAACAACUCCUUUUAGAAUGAAACACAUGGUAAUAACCUAUUUAUAUUGAAGAUAAAUG